rnacentral:rRNA from 1 species
UACGUAGGGCGCGAGCGUUGUCCGGAAUUAUUGGGCGUAAAGAGCGUGUAGGCGGCCAGGUAGGUCUGCUGUGAAAACUCGAGGCUUAACCUCGAGCUGUCGGCGGAAACCAUCUGGCUAGAGUCCGGAAGAGGAGAAUGGAAUUCCCGGUGUAGCGGUGAAAUGCGCAGAUAUCGGGAAGAACACCCGUGGCGAAGGCGGUUCUCUGGGACGGUACUGACGCUGAGACGCGAAAGCGUGGGGAGCGAACAGG